rnacentral:rRNA from 1 species
UACGUAGGGAGCAAGCGUUGUCCGGAAUCAUUGGGCGUAAAGCGCGCGUAGGCGGCCCUGUAAGUCCGUUGUGAAAGUCAAAGGCUCAACCUUUGAAAGCCGAUGGAUACUGCAGGGCUAGAGUCCGGAAGAGGCGAGUGGAAUUCCUGGUGUAGCGGUGGAAUGCGCAGAUAUCAGGAGGAACACCGGUGGUGUAGACGGCUCUCUGGACCGUAACUGACGCUGAGACACGAAAGCGUGGGUAGCAAACAGG